rnacentral:rRNA from 1 species
UGUGACUGCGUACCUUUUGUAUAAUGGGUCAGCGACUUAUAUUCUGUAGCAAGGUUAACCGAAUAGGGGAGCCGAAGGGAAACCGAGUCUUAACUGGGCGUUAAGUUGCAGGGUAUAGACCCGAAACCCGGUGAUCUAGCCAUGGGCAGGUUGAAGGUUGGGUAACACUAACUGGAGGACCGAACCGACUAAUGUUGAAAAAUUAGCGGAUGACUUGUGGCUGGGGGUGAAAGGCCAAUCAAACCGGGAGAUAGCUGGUUCUCCCCGAAAGCUAUUUAGGUAGCGCCUCGUGAAUUCAUCUCCGGGGGUAGAGCACUGUUUCGGCAAGGGGGUCAUCCCGACUUACCAACCCGAUGCAAACUGCGAAUACCGGAGAAUGUUAUCACGGGAGACACACGGCGGGUGCUAACGUCCGUCGUGAAGAGGGAAACAACCCAGACCGCCAGCUAAGGUCCCAAAGUCAUGGUUAAGUGGGAAACGAUGUGGGAAGGCCCAGACAGCCAGGAUGUUGGCUUAGAAGCAGCCAUCAUUUAAAGAAAGCGUAAUAGCUCACUGGUCGAGUCGGCCUGCGCGGAAGAUGUAACGGGGCUAAACCAUGCAC